rnacentral:rRNA from 1 species
UAAGGUGACUGCCGGUGACAAACCGGAGGAAGGUGGGGAUGACGUCAAAUCAUCAUGCCCCUUAUGACCUGGGCUACACACGUGCUACAAUGGACAGAACAAAGGGCAGCGAAACCGCGAGGUUAAGCCAAUCCCACAAAUCUGUUCUCAGUUCGGAUCGCAGUCUGCAACUCGACUGCGUGAAGCUGGAAUCGCUAGUAAUCGCGGAUCAGCAUGCCGCGGUGAAUACGUUCCCGGGCCUUGUACACACCGCCCGUCACACCACGAGAGUUUGUAACACCCGAAGUCGGUGAGGUAACCUUUUAGGAGCCAGCCGCCGAAGGUGGGACAGAUGAUUGGGGUGAAGUCGUAACAAGGUAGCCGU